CAUAGGUUUAAAGAGACAACCUGGAGAACUGAAACAUCUAAGUAACCAGAGGAAAAGAAAUCAAUUGAGAUUCCGUUAGUAGUGGCGAGCGAACGCGGAGUAGGCCAGUAGUUUUGUUAGAAAAAUUUGAAUAGUUUGGAAAUGCUAACCAUAGAGGGUGAUAGUCCCGUAUGAGUAAUGUCUAACAAAAUUCUUGAGUAAAGCGGGACACGAGAAAUCCUGCUCGAAUAUAGGGGGACCACCCUCUAAGCCUAAAUACUCUUCAGUGACCGAUAGUGAACUAGUACCGUGAGGGAAAGGUGAAAAGAACCCCUAUUAGGGGAGUGAAAUAGAACCUGAAACUGCAUGCCUACAAUCAGUCCGAGCCCUUUUUAGGGUGAGGGCGUACCUUUUGUAUAAUGGGUCAGUGACUUAAUUUAUUAAGCAAGCUUAAGCCAUCUAGGUGUAGGCGCAGCGAAAGCAAGUCUUAAUAGGGCGAUUAGUUUAAUGAAUUAGACCCGAAAACGAAUGAGCUUACCAUGAGCAGGUUGAAAGUUGGGUAACACCAACCGGAGGACCGAACCAGUUGACGUUGAAAAGUCUUUGGAUGACUUGUGGUAAGGGGUGAAAGGCCAACCAAAUUCGUAGAUAGCUGGUUUUCCGCGAAAACUAUUUAGGUAGUGCGUCGAAUAAAUAGAUGUUUAGAGGUAGAGCACUAAAUGGGCUAGGGGGAAGAGAUUCUUACCAAACCUAAUAAAACUCCGAAUGCUAGACAUUGUUCUUCGGCAGACAGACUGUGGGUGCUAAGGUCCAUGGUCGAGAGGGAAAGAGCCCAGACCACCAGAUAAGGUCCCAAAAUCAUGAUUAAGUGUGAAAGGAUGUGGAAAUUCCUUAACAGCCGGGAGGUUGGCUUAGAAGCAGCCAUCCUUUAAAGAUAGCGUAACAGCUCACCGGUCUAAUAGAGUUUCUGCGCCGAAGAUGUAACGGGGCUAAAAUCAUGUACCGAAUCUGUGGCUUUACAAAGUUUUCGAAUUUUGUAAGGGGUAGCGGAACGUUCUGUAAGCCUGUGAAGGGAUACCCGUGAGGGAUCCUGGAGGUAUCAGAAGUGCGAAUGCUGACAUAAGUAACGAUAAACGAAGUGAAAAACUUCGUCGCCGAAAAUCUAAGGGUUUCUGCGCAAGGUUAAUCCGCGCAGAGUUAGUCGGCACCUAAGGCGAGGGCGAAAGCCGUAGUCGAUGGAAAUAAGGUUAAUAUUCCUUAACCAGAUGGUAGUGACGGAUCUUGUAAGUUGUAAGUUCUUAAUGGAUUGAGCUUGCCGCGAAAAGGUUCCAAGAAAUAGCUCCAUCAUUAGACCGUACCCUAAACCGACACAGGUAGAUUAAUAGAGUAUAUUUAGGCGCUUGAGAGAAUGAUGUUGAAGGAACUCGGCAAAAUGCUUCCGUAACUUCGGGAUAAGGAAGACCCUUUUGUAGGCAACUAUAGAAGGGUGGCACAAGCCAGGGAGAAGCGACUGUUUAUCAAAAACACAGGGCUCUGCUAACACGUAAGUGGAUGUAUAGGGUCUGACGCCUGCCCGGUGCUGGAAGGUUAAUGCGGUUGGUGCAAGCUAACUUCUGAAGCCCCAGUAAACGGCGGCCGUAACUAUAACGGUCCUAAGGUAGCGAAAUUCCUUGUCGGGU
rnacentral:rRNA from 1 species